UCAGAGGGGACGAAGGCGCAAGCUGACGGUACCUCCAGAGGAAACCCCGGCCAAAUACGUGCCAGCAGCCGCGGUAAUACGUAGGGUGCGAGCGUUAAUCUGAAUUACUGGGCGUAAAGCGUGCGCAGGCGGUUCUGCAAGUCAGAUGUGAAAUCCCCGGGCUCAACCUGGGAACUGCGUUUGUGACUGUAUAGCUGGAGUAUGGCAGAGGGGGGUGGAAUUCCACGUGUAGCACUGAAAUGCGUAGAGAUGUGUGAGGAACACCGAUGGCGAAGGCAACCCCCUGGGCCAAUACUGACGCUCAUGCACGAAAGCGUGGGGAGCAAACAAGAUUAGAUACCCUGGUAGUCCACGCCCUAAACGAUGCGNACUAGGUGUUGGGGAAGGAGACUUUCUUAGUACCGCAGCUAACGCGUGAAGUUCGCCGCCUGGGGAGUACGGUCGCAAGAUUAAAACUCAAAGGAAUUGACGG
rnacentral:rRNA from 1 species